rnacentral:rRNA from 1 species
GAUGAACGCUGGCGGCGUGCCUAAUACAUGCAAGUCGAGCGAACAGACGAGGAGCUUGCUCCUCUGACGUUAGCGGCGGACGGGUGAGUAACACGUGGAUAACCUACCUAUAAGACUGGGAUAACUUCGGGAAACCGGAGCUAAUACCGGAUAAUAUCUUUAAACGCAUGGUUCAAUAGUGAAAGACGGUUUUGCUUUCACUUAUAGAUGGAUCCGCGCCGCAUUAGCUAGUUGUUAAGGUAACGGCUUACCAAGGCAACGAUGCGUAGCCGACCUGAGAGGGUGAUCGGCCACAUUGGAACUGAGACACGGUCCAGACUCCUACGGGAGGCAGCAGUAGGGAAUCUUCGGCAAUGGGCGAAAGCCUGACGGAGCAACGCCGCGUGAGUGAUGAAGGUCUUCGGAUCGUAAAACUCUGUUAUUAGGGAAGAACAAAGGUGUAAGUAAAUAGGCACGUCUUGACGGUAACUAAUCAGAAAGCCACGGCUAACUACGUG